UGUUUUUGUAAUUGCAGAUGUUUGUCAAGCGCUUAGAGAUACUAUUUGCAGGGAAGGUGUCAUAUAAAGUGAAGUUACUAUUGGCUCUACUAUCGCCAUGUCAAACAUUUCGAGCCUGAGGAAUACAGAUUCUUCAGCAGCAAAUGAAAAUGAAAUGAACAAAAUGCUUUUGAUUCAUUCCAGUAACACUGGCAAGUGAUCUUCUACAGCACCAUGAGGUGGGAAAACCUUGCUUAGUUUCCUCUACAACAUGGAUCAGAAAUGUAAAAAGAAAUAUUCAGUCCGAAACGGUAGUAACUUCUGAAUAUGGAACUAAAAGAAAACUUAAAUUCAUUUAACCUUUUCACAGAUGAGAAAAUAUACCUGAUGCCAACAUAGGUCAAAGGUUUUGCUGAAAAUCAUUCAGGUAGUGGAAGAGUCAAGCUCAGAACCCUGGUCUCUGAGUUCCCAGCUAAGGAUUUGUUUUAGUACAUUAUGUUACCUUAGUCUACCUGCAGCAAGAGUUUGAGGUCAUACAGCCUCUCUCUUCCACUAGGAUGUGCUUCAUAGCAGCAUCAGAAUUUGGGGGCCAGCUUGACAUGAACCUUAACAGACAUAGGCUUCCAAUCUUUGUAAGUUGUAUGGAGGGCACUGGGAAAAGAAAUGCCAUCCUGCUGGCUAAACCCACAUGAUAGAAAAAAUGAGGAAGGAUUUCAUAAAAAACGAAAAAUAUGAAGACAUUGGGUUGUAAGAAGCACUAAUAUCAAAGCUUUGACUUAUGCUCAUAAACAUUGCCAAGCAAAUUUUUUAUGUUCUCAAUUCUACCUCUUCACAGACUGAAAUGUUCACUAGUUGGAUUCCAUUUCAAAGUUAAAAUUCCAAUUCGGUGAAGUUGCGAUGAAGAUCUGAGUUGACUCUUGUUGUUGUAUGACCUAAGUCUUCUAUCCAUGCCAACUUUUUCAUUUUUUUCUGUGUUGUGCAUUAAUGAUGGCUUCUUUUCCCCUUGAAGUUUAACUCCAUAAAAUAUCCUCUAUAACUGUUCCACUUGUCACAGUCCAGACAAUUCUCCAAUCAAAUAGUCCUGUUUAGCACAAUACCUCCUCUCAGAAAGCCAAAAAAAUAGAUAUGGGGCAAACAAAGUGCAGCUGUGUUGAAGCUGUUUAAUAGCCCACCAAUGUACAGCCCACCAAUGAGGGGGCGGGCAGUGGAUGGGGUGGG
rnacentral:lncRNA from 1 species